rnacentral:rRNA from 1 species
GUCGACGCGAAGAACCUUAUCCUAGGCUUGACAUGUGCGAAAGCGCUAGCAAGUAGCGUGCGGAAACGUUACGCGAACGGUAUCCAGUCCGGAAGCUAGUACAGGUGUUGCAUGGCUGUCG